rnacentral:rRNA from 1 species
GAUGAACGCUGGCGGCGUGCCUAAUACAUGCAAGUCGAGCGAACAGAUGAGGAGCUUGCUCCUCUGACGUUAGCGGCGGACGGGUGAGUAACACGUGGAUAACCUACCUAUAAGACUGGGAUAACUUCGGGAAACCGGAGCUAAUACCGGAUAAUAUAUUGAACCGCAUGGUUCAAUAGUGAAAGACGGUUUUGCUGUCACUUAUAGAUGGAUCCCCGCCGCAUUAGCUAGUUGGUAAGGUAACGGCUUACCACGGCGACGAUGCGUAGCCGAGCGGUGAGAGUGGUCGGCCACACUGGAACUGAGCCGCGGUCCAGACUACUGAGGGAGGGAGCAGUAGGGAAUGGGACGCAGUGGGCGGAAGCCUGACAGAACAACGGGAAGUGAGAGGUGAAGGUCUUCGGAUCGUAAAACUCUGUUAUGAGGGAAGAACAAAUGUGUAAGUAAAUAUGCACGUCGUGACGGUACCUAAUCAGAAAGCCACGGCUAACUACGUG